AAUAUACUUCCUCCGUCUCAAAAAUUUUGUCUUAGAUUUGUCUAGAAAUGGAUGUAUCUAAAUACUAUAACAUGACUAGAUACAUUCAUAUCUAGACAAAUGUAAGAUAAGAAUUUUGAGACGGAGGGAGUAUAAU
rfam:Hordeum vulgare subsp. vulgare, WGS project CAJW01000000 data, contig: morex_contig_47057